rnacentral:snRNA from 1 species
CCCAAGAUAUUAAUCUUAUUUUUGGAAUGCGGCGUAGUGCUUGAGGUUUAACUCACCUAUGCCACGGGUUGGCCCGGUAUUGCACUGCCUCCGGGAUCGGCCCACCCCCC